GUGUAUUCUAUAAAUGAAAGUGUAAGCAUUCCACCUCAAGAGUAAUUUGGCAACAUUGGAACUGAAAUCAUUAGACCGUUUCUGAAACCAGUAGUGAAGUAUGUUGUUUAAUUUGAUAAUCCGCAAAAAACCUUACCACAAUUUGAAUAUUUAUAUUAUUUUUUCUGAUCUAUUGCAUGAAAGGAAAAAAGAUAUCUACAAGCGUUGCACGGCUGUCUUCAGUUAAUGUCGUGAGAUUUUGGUUAGUUCCAUUAAAUUAACGUAAACCCUUACUUUAUUUUUAUAUAAAGUAGUUCCCCA
rnacentral:rRNA from 1 species